UUCUUCUCCAUUUGUUUACAAAUUACAAAUACAUUAUUCAUUCUCAGACUUACCUUCGCCGAUUCUCUCUUCUCCCUUUCAAAAUUCUCCGCUUCCCUUCUGCUCCGGCGAGUCUGGGGCUGAGGAAACCGGAGACUUUCUUUCAAUUCAUCUGAAUUACAAACAGUUGUUGACGCUUUCUUUCUAGGAUUUUAAUGGCGUUCGCUUCUUCUAGCAGUGUUAUUUGCCAGAACAGAGCCUUGUCCUCCUCCGUCGUUUCUUCUUCUGCCCUUUUGCAUCAUCGCUGCUUCUCUCGUCUUCAAUCGCAGCGUAUUCUUCAUUGUAAUCGUCGUUCGUCUUCAAACAUCGGUAUAAACGCCUCUCCGGGGGCCUCUUCUCUCGUCGCUAAAACUGCUCUUUCCGAUGCUCAUGUUCAAAGUUACAGCUCCUGUUCUGCUCCUGGUCCUGGAUGGUCUGAUUUUGCUCAAAACGUCUCUGGCGAGUGGGAUGGAUAUGGUGCGGAUUUUUCUUAUGAAGGAACGCCAAUUGAGCUUCCGGAAUCCGUUGUACCAGAUGCUUAUAGAGAAUGGGAGGUUAAGGUUUUCGAUUGGCAAACACAAUGCCCAACUCUUGCAGAACCUGAGCAACCCUCUCUCAUGUACAAGACAAUAAAGCUACUUCCUACGGUGGGAUGUGAAGCCGAUGCUGCAACUCGUUACAGCAUCGAUGAGAGAAAUAUUAGAGAUGGAAUUGGGGGAAAUGACGAAGUGAAUGCCUUUGGAUAUCAACGUAGUGGAUGUUAUGUAGUUGUCUGGCCAAUUGAGGUUAGAGGUUCUUGUAAGUUAAUGGAGUUGGAGCAUUGCCUGGUCAAUCCUCAUGAUCGUGAAUCUCGUGUGAGGGUUGUUCAGGUUGUGCGAGUUGAGGGUUCACGGCUAGUGUUGCAGAAUAUCAGAGUUUUCUGUGAGCAGUGGUAUGGGCCAUUCAGAAAUGGAGAACAACUUGGUGGAUGUGCCAUCGCAGACUCAGCGUUUGCUUCUACAGCUGCCUUGAAAGCUUCUGAGGUGGUUGGGGAAUGGCAGGGUCCUGUCUCUGUUGCCCGCUUUGAUGGUUCUCAGAUUGCACAAAAUAACUCCAUUUACUGGAAAACUGACUGCAGAAUGUUAUACAAGAACUUUUGGCUGACAAUGUGCAAAAGUCGGUGAGAACUGAAUCAGAACUCAAGCUGCUUCCCAAGCAACUAUGGUGUUCCCUUAAAGAAAGUAAAGACAGUGGGGAUACGUACUGUGAAGUUGGAUGGCUUUUUGCUCACGGUCAUGCAAUUACAUCAAGAUGCAUCUUCUCAAGCACAUCGAAAUUGAAGGAAAUAUCGAUUGCGAAUGAGACCCCUGCUUAAGAUAGUAACCAAGGAAUGACGGUUCAAUUGAGCUGCAGAGAAGGUCCUGAUUACUUCUUCAUUAGCCAUUACAUAAGCUCUGAAAUAAGUAUGCUAUAUGUGUUUUUCAUUCUACAAAAUGAAGUAUAAAUAUAUAAAAACUCAUAGUGUGCAUUUGUUUACAAAUUUUGUAACAAAACCUUAUAGCAUCCAAGAAGUUUUAUAUAUGACAAAAUUGUUCUACUUGAUUUUUGCAGUGUUUA